UUUGAUUCUGUCUCAGGACGAACGCUGGCGGCGUGCCUAAUACAUGCAAGUCGAACGCACUCUCGUUUAGAUUGAAGGAGCUUGCUCCUGAUUGAUAAACAUUUGAGUGAGUGGCGGACGGGUGAGUAACACGUGGGUAACCUGCCCUAAAGUGGGGGAUAACAUUUGGAAACAGAUGCUAAUACCGCAUAAAACCUAACACCGCAUGGUGUAGGGUUGAAAGAUGGUUUCGGCUAUCACUUUAGGAUGGACCCGCGGUGCAUUAGUUAGUUGGUGAGGUAAAGGCUCACCAAGACCGUGAUGCAUAGCCGACCUGAGAGGGUAAUCGGCCACACUGGGACUGAGACACGGCCCAGACUCCUACGGGAGGCAGCAGUAGGGAAUCUUCCACAAUGGACGAAAGUCUGAUGGAGCAACGCCGCGUGAGUGAAGAAGGUUUUCGGAUCGUAAAACUCUGUUGUUGGAGAAGAAUGUAUCUGAUAGUAACUGAUCAGGUAGUGACGGUAUCCAACCAGAAAGCCACGGCUAACUACGUGCCAGCAGCCGCGGUAAUACGUAGGUGGCAAGCGUUGUCCGGAUUUAUUGGGCGUAAAGCGAGCGCAGGCGGUUUCUUAAGUCUGAUGUGAAAGCCUUCGGCUCAACCGAAGAAGUGCAUCGGAAACUGGGAGACUUGAGUGCAGAAGAGGACAGUGGAACUCCAUGUGUAGCGGUGAAAUGCGUAGAUAUAUGGAAGAACACCAGUGGCGAAGGCGGCUGUCUGGUCUGUAACUGACGCUGAGGCUCGAAAGCAUGGGUAGCAAACAAAAGUAGAUACCCUGGUAGUCCAUGCCGUAAACGA
rnacentral:rRNA from 1 species